rnacentral:rRNA from 1 species
GAUGAACGCUGGCGGCGUGCCUAAUACAUGCAAGUCGAGCGAACAGACGAGGAGCUUGCUCCUCUGACGUUAGCGGCGGACGGGUGAGUAACACGUGGAUAACCUACCUAUAAGACUGGGAUAACUUCGGGAAACCGGAGCUAAUACCGGAUAAUAUAUUGAACCGCAUGGUUCAAUAGUGAAAGACGGUUUUGCUGUCACUUAUAGAUGGAUCCGCGCCGCAUUAGCUAGUUGGUAAGGUAACGGCUUACCAAGGCGACGAUGCGUAGCCGACCUGAGAGGGUGAUCGGCCACACUGGAACUGAGACACGGUCCAGACUCCUACGGGAGGCAGCAGUAGGGAAUCUUCCGCAAUGGGCGAAAGCCUCACGGAGCAACGCCGCGUGAGUGAUGAAGGUCUUCGGAUCGUAAAACUCUGUUAUUAGGGAAGAACAAAUGUGUAAGUAACUAUGCACGUCUUGACGGUACCUAAUCAGAAAGCCACGGCUAACUACGUG